ACUUGUUCAAUUGGAUCCCUGACAGGACAUCAGAACUCAUGUUUGAAAAAUACAAAGUCCCUGCAUUAUUUUUAGCCAAGAAUGCUGUACACUCUCUGUCCAUCUCUUGAUUGCAUAUCUGAAUUGAAGUGACACUAGUACAAUUGAAAACCCUAUCAUGGGUUCUAACGUCUUUUGCAUCUCGUCGUGCUACCUCUUUGGUUGUUGAUAGUCCAUCCUUCCAGAGGUUUACAGUGAGGACUUCCAAAACAAUAGAAGACAUUUCUAACUAGGGUAAUGCAGAAUGUUAUUUUCACCAUCUCCAAUGUGUUUGUGUAGUGAUACAUUCUCAUCUAGAGUCUUAACAAGAGUUCUUGCUGGCUGCAGCUCUAAAGAAAAAAUAAGAAUUAACUGAGCAGUUGAAGGAUUUAUCUAGGAACAUUGAGGUAAAUAAGGACUGUCCCUUCCCAUUUUUUCCCUGAAGAAUGAUAUGUUACUUCCAAGACUAAGUUAUUGGUAUACUAUAUUUUUCAAUUUGUACAAGUGGGACUGUGCUUUAGUUACAUUGGAUUGAUGGAUCUUGGGACACAGAUGCAACAACCAAGUGGCUGUCCAC